CCUACGGGUGGCUGCAGUGGGGAAUAUUGGACAAUGGGCGAAAGCCUGAUCCAGCCAUGCCGCGUGUGUGAAGAAGGCCUUCGGGUUGUAAAGCACUUUCAGUGGGGAAGAAAGCCUUGGGGCUAAUACCCUCGAGGAAGGACAUCACCCACAGAAGAAGCACCGGCUAACUCCGUGCCAGCAGCCGCGGUAAUACGGAGGGUGCGAGCGUUAAUCGGAAUUACUGGGCGUAAAGCGCGCGUAGGCGGUCUGAUAAGCCGGUUGUGAAAGCCCCGGGCUCAACCUGGGAACGGCAUCCGGAACUGUCAGGCUAGAGUGCAGGAGAGGAAGGUAGAAUUCCCGGUGUAGCGGUGAAAUGCGUAGAGAUCGGGAGGAAUACCAGUGGUGAAGGCGGCCUUCUGGACUGACACUGACGCUGAGGUGCGAAAGCGUGGGUAGCAAACAGGAUUAGAUACCCCUGUAGUC
rnacentral:rRNA from 1 species